rnacentral:lncRNA from 1 species
GUCCAGGUCUGCUCCGGCUCUUGCUCUUGCUCAGAGCUGAAUAAUCUGGAGCCUUUGAAGAAGGAUUUCUGAAAAGCCAUCAGGAGUGAAUCAUUGACUUAGGGAGGCGAUGAAUCAACGGGGAGUUCAUAAAACGGCAAAUGAAUCGGGUGUGAGAGCGACAGAGCCACUGCUAUUCCCCAGAACCCUCCAGGGACAGAGAGCCGAGAGAAAAGAAAUAAAAAUAACACGGGGCCUUACGCCUGCCACAAACCCCGGAGCCCUUAUAAGAAAGAACACUGAUUUUGACGAACACCCAAAAUAAUGUGAGAUCAGGCACCAUGCAUUAUGCAUGAGGUCUGAUUUAACAUGAACAUUAUUUCUUGUGUACGAGACCAUAUGCCUCCGUGCUGUCUCUGCAGCCUAAUAAUACCCAGACCCACCCU